GGAGUACUCCCUCGGUCCGGAAAAGCUUGUCCCAAGUUUGUUCCUUAAAUGGAUGUAUCUAGCACUAACUUGGUGCUAGAUAUAGUCAUUUGAGGGGUAAGUUUUUUCGGACGGAGGGAGUAUCUU
rnacentral:pre_miRNA from 1 species